rnacentral:lncRNA from 1 species
CCUCGCCGGCAAUCUCACACAAUGAAAUAUAACCAACACUUUAGCAACACAAUCAAUAAUUCAGCAAGAACAGUUUCAACCACAUGUUUAGUUCAAUGUUCUUUCACCAAAAAAUUAACAGUAAUAAAUAAAAUGCGAGUAAAUCUUAGAGAACAUACCUCAAAAAUUGAAUAUUGAUAAGCCGAAGAUGACGGUGAAUGAGAAUUAAAUGCUGAGACAACGAUGAAAUCAUUACUAAUUGGUGAUUGGAAUCUGAAACUGAUUAGGGAUCAACAUAUUCUUUAACAUGUAAUGAGAAUAGAAGUUGGCUGAUUAUAGGCUUCUAAUGGGAAUGAGAAUGGAAGUUCUUCUGUAACAGGUAUUGAGAAUGGGAGUUGGCUGAUUGUAGGCUUCUAAUUGGGGCUGACAGUGUGCUAAUUAUUGAAAUCCGAAAGCAUCUGAGGGAAUGAGAAUGGAAAAUUGGGAGAAUAAAGGAGAAUUGAGAAUGAGACUAUCAGUGAAUUUUGAGGGCUGCCACGUGGGCGAACCCCAUUUUCGUAUUAUAAAGAAGAUUGUAAUAUUUUUCCCCAAAAUAGGGAAAAAAGAUAUUCCAUUAAAAAAAUUUUACAGUUGAUUUGGUUUUGAUCGUACCGACAAUGGAGUUCAGAAGCAGCUGCCAUUUCUCAAACUGAGUGUUGAACUCACCAACCUUUAGCCAACUCUGCUUCUAGUUUAUCAAACACUGGAAAAGCAAUCCCCUAAAAAUAUAUUUUUGGGUCAAGAGCCAUAUAUUAAUAUACUUGGAUAUAAUAACAGAUUUAAUACCUCCCCGUAGGCAACAAAACCACAAAUAAAACACAUCCAAAGAUUUUCUGAAGUUUGACAAACAUAACAUACAGAUUUCUCAGGCUGUUGUUGGCAGUACCAGCAUACCUAUAGAAGUCAAAAUACAUGACAUUAGUCUUGAUCCAAGUCCCAAAGGCAUUUAUAACUUAAAGUAAAGCACAUGACAGUAACAUAGCUAAGUAGCAACAGCAGAUCGAAUGUGAUUACUGAUUAGUACAGUAUGUAUCGAAAAGAGAGUACACAAGAUCUGCCUGACUGAGUUAAUUAAGAAAGUAAAUUCAUUCACAAGGUCUAAGAAAGGUUUUGAAUUGUGAUGUUUCAUCCCCUUGGAUACAAGUUUGUCUUAAACUCAACUCACACAUAUGAUGCCCAGAAACACCUACCAACAGUUGACUACAUCUAAAUGAUGCAAAGCAACAAAAAAAUGUUCUCUUCACUUCUAUAGAUGCUCAGGCAUGACACUAAUAAAUCCUAUAAUAUCAUGGUAGGAACAUUAGCACCCACCGGGUAAGAAAAAUCAGUCCAUUUAGACAUACAUAUUUAUAUAUAUAUCAAACGCAUGAAAUGAUCUAAGAGAGAUAUUCAAUUAGCAAGAUAGCAUUCACUUCCACAAUCUAAGCAUUUUGCAAAAUUUUCAUCAUUAUAAAAAUAUAAGAGAAAAUUAAAAUUCACCCACCCUUAUAUCAUUUUUCUCGUGAAAAAUAAUAACUAUAGCUCAUCUUCCAUUCGCUUCACCCAUAUGUACUGACAGGGAUCGGGAGACAUGGUCGAAGCCAAGGGAAAGUGACAUUCUUAGUUCCACUUCCACGUCUUCUGUCUUGAGUUAAAUAGACCGUUGCUAAAGGAGAUUUACCGUUAAGAAAGAAAACAAACUUCCUCUUGAUUUGGCUGUCCAGUGUUCUUAAGUUUCCUUUGGCCUACUCCUUAGGAGAACUAUAGGUACAACACUAAAGCGUUAAUACCAUCCCUCGGGAGGUUGGAGUCCUGGCCUGGAUAGACAAUAUCAGUACAUAGAUCUAUUACAAUAUUCCUAUGUAAUACUGAGAUUUCUGGUAAUUCCCAUAAAGACUUGAGAGAGAUUAGACAGAAAACAACAUGAAGAAAUCAGGUGAAAUAAAAGGGAAAACCCCUUCUCAGCAAGAGAAAAACAACACAAGUUCAUAAGAGAAAGAUAGCACAAGUUCAUAAGUUAUUGAAGCAAUUAAAAUCAAACUAAUCAUAAAGGAAUCAAUAUAUUGAAUUUUGUGAAGCAGAUUCAACCAAACAAAAAUGGAAAAAGAGAAAUUUAACACCGCUCUCCAAUCAGAAAUUGAAGGCCAUACCUUUCUGAGUGUAAGCGAGGGCGGGGCCAGCGAUUCCGGCACCCACAAUGACUAUGCCGUCGUUUCUCUUCUGCCCUAGCGUCGCCGCCUUGCCGGUUAGUUCAGACAAUAGGGAAGGAGAUAGGACGGAGGAGGAGAGUCGCCGCCUAAAGCCGUGCCCGCAAUGGAGUCGCGCCGCCUGGAGUCGGGAAAGAUAUUAUUGAAUCACUCCCAAAAUUGUGCUAUUGAUAUUGACAUGGAUUGGGGAGGAAGAUUGACAGAAUCACGCAAUUGAAACGAUGAUUGAUGAAACUGAUUCAAUUAUUGUUGUGGGGUGCGAAAUUAAGGAGUUUUGAUUUGGUGUAUGCUGAUUCCCGUGAGAAUCUACGUGAGUUACAAAAUGGAGAGAAAAGAAUAUGUAUACGAGUAGGGAUGGCAACGGGCCGGAUCUGGACCG